rnacentral:rRNA from 1 species
ACGUCAAAUCKUCAUGCCCCUUAUGACVUGGSCYACACAGGUGCUACAAAUGGACCAGAACAAAGGGCUGCGAGACCGCAAGGUUUAGCCAAUCCCACAAAUCUGUCCUCAGUUCGGAUCGCAGUCUGCAACUCGACUGCGUGAAGCUGGAAUCGCUAGUAAUCGCGGAUCAGCAUGCCGCGGUGAAUACGUUCCCGGCCUUGUACACACCGAAUCACUAGUGAAUUCGCS